CCUACGGGAGGCACCAGUGGGGAAUAUUGGACAAUGGGCGCAAGCCUGAUCCAGCAAUGCCGCGUGUGUGAAGAAGGUUUUCGGAUUGUAAGGCACUUUCAGCGGGGACGAUGAUGACGGUACCCGCAGAAGAAGCCCCGGCUAACUUCGUGCCAGCAGCCGCGGUAAUACGAAGGGGGCAAGCGUUGCUCGGAAUGACUGGGCGUAAAGGGCGCGUAGGCGGUUGUUACAGUCAGAUGUGAAAUUCCCGGGCUUAACCUGGGGGCUGCAUUUGAUACGUGACGACUAGAGUGUGAGAGAGGGUUGUGGAAUUCCCAGUGUAGAGGUGAAAUUCGUAGACAUUGGGAAGAACACCGGUGGCGAAGGCGGCAACCUGGCUCAUGACUGACGCUGAGGCGCGAAAGCGUGGGGAGCAAACAGGAUUAGAUACCCUAGUAGUC
rnacentral:rRNA from 1 species